AAGGAAUUUAAGAUUUUGCCCUGAAGUUAAAGGAUGUGGGUGUUUUGACCCAGCAGCUUCUGGCUUGCUGAAACCAUGAGAAAAAUUUGGGCAAGAUUGAAAAGUUAUACCCUAGAGACAGCAUUCAAGCCUGGGCCAUUCGUGCUGUGUGCAUAUACAUACCACCAUCAGAAGCUGCCAGUUUUCCCCCAAAAAGGAAAUGAGCCUUUGUGCAUUGUAUUUCAUCUGUUCAUCUCAAGCUGCCUCGAGAAUGGCUCCAUGUGUC